ensembl:snRNA U6 U6 spliceosomal RNA
GUGCUCACUUCAGCAGCACAUACACUAAAAUUGAAAUGGUGUAGAGAUUAGCAAGGCCCCUGCCAAGGAUGACACAGAUUUGUGAAAGAACCCAAUAAAAUAA